AUGUCUAGAGCAGCAACUGAAACUUUGCUAAAGUCAAAAACACAAGCUAUUCCGACCUUCAUCGCCAGUUGUUUUCGGCUUCCAGUAGCUACGUGUGAAAAGUUCCACCAGAUUGUGGCCGAUCAAUGGUGGGGACGAGAAGAUGGGAAAAAGAAAAUUCACUGGCGUUCAUGGGAUUGGCUCUCGACACCUAAGUCCCUUGGGGGCAUGGGUUUCCGCGACAUGGGGUUGUUCAAUCAGGCGAUGCUUGGGAAGCAAGGGUGGAGACUUCUUACUGCUCCUCUUUCGCUCUGUGCGCGGGUUUUGAAGGGGAGGUAUUUUCCAAAUGGUGAUUUCUGGAACGCUUCGGCUCCUCGUACAACCUCAGCGACAUGGCGUGCGAUUCUGCAUGGUCGUGAUCUUCUGAAGAUGGGGAUUCAGUGGGGUAUUGGGGAUGGAAGGAGUACUCACAUUUUGACUGGCUAUUGGAUCCCCUCCAUCCCUCCUGCACUUCUCUGGCCUCUUUACCCCAUACCUGCUUCAGCCAAAGUCCACUGUUUGCUUGAUGAGGAAAGUGGGACUUGGAAUGAGGAGUCAGUGAGGGCCUUCUUCUCGGAUGAUGUGGCCAACAAAAUCCUCCAAGUUCCAAUCUGCAGCAUUGGCAGCUCUGAUUUUGCUCGCUGGCCAUUUACCAAACUGGGCGAGUACUCUGUUAAGUCUGCCUACAACAUGGCGAGGACGUCUGGCUUCCUGACAUCCCGCAGCUGCAAUGGUAAGGGCCAACACUCCGAGUGGCAUUCAGAGGAGAGAUUGUGGAAGGAGUUGUGGAAAGUCAAGGCUCCAAACAAAAUGAAGAUCGUGCUGUGGCGAUUUUCUCACAACUGCUUGCCUUCGGGUGAGCAAAUGCUUCGACGCCAGGUUCCGACGCGGACCGACUGUUGUUUCUGCGGCCAGUAG
rnacentral:rRNA from 1 species